AAGAAGAAAUAACACUGCCUCCCACUGUCAUGCAUCAUGCACUAAAUCUGAAGGCAGGCAGGUGGAUUCUAAGCAGCAAGUGCUGGUUUGGACACUCUCUCUAACACUCAUUAGUAGCUUGGAGCCUUGGCUCCCUGUUAGUAGAAAGGCAGGGAUCACAGCAGGGAAGUGAUAGCUCAGGCUUCUCACAUUCCUGCUGUACCUUAGCAAAGUCUUGUAGAGCCUUUUCCUGGCAGCUCAUUAGUAGGUGCACUGAUGCAUAAGAGGCAGUCAUUAGGAGAGUUUUUUUUUUCCUUCUUCAGCCCUGGUGUCUGAUCAGAUGACUAGUGGCAUCACAAUUUAAAGCAAAGGAAAGAUUCAUAUUAUAACCCAAGAGUGGUCACUCAAAGAGUGGUCAAAGCGUUAUCGCAGUUUAGGGAAAACAGCUCAAACAAAUCUUAUUCACAGCCUUCAAAAUCAAAGUCUGCUGGGUAAAUCAGAUCUCUGGUGUCUCAGACUUGGCCAGCAGCGGGGUGAGUGGGAUUCUGUUUGCCUUGAGAGGAUUUGUUUUUCACUCCAGCAGACUGAUACAUGUAACAGAGUUU
rnacentral:lncRNA from 1 species